rnacentral:rRNA from 1 species
UACGAAGGGGGGCUAGCGUUGCUCGGAAUCACUGGGCGUAAAGGGUGCGUAGGCGGGUCUUUUAAGUCAGGGGUGAAAUCCUGGAGCUCAACUCCAGAACUGCCUUUGAUACUGAAGAUCUUGAGUUCGGGAGAGGUGAGUGGAACUGCGAGUGUAGAGGUGAAAUUCGUAGAUAUUCGCAAGAACACCAGUGGCGAAGGCGGCUCACUGGCCCGAUAACUGACGCUGAGGCACGAAAGCGUGGGGAGCAAACAGG